CAUCUCUCCCACUGUCUCUCAGCUCUUUCUUUGGUCUCAAGGCUGGGCAUCUACAAGUGUGCAGGCCUGUGUGUUGCAGCCCAACAAUUGCAUUGAUUGCAGUGAUCAAGGACAAUGUACCAUCAAGUUGACCCUGUUGCUUGCAUUCUCGACAGUGUUCACAUGUGGCUUCAUUUUCUACUAUGAGGCCAAUAACCAGGACAAUUCCCUUCCCCAUCAGUGAAUGCACCAAACCAAGUUUUCCUCCAUUGGUAGAAGAUACAGAAAAAUUCAUUAUGUAAUCCUUCAUAUUCUAUGAUAUAACAUGCAAAAAUUUCUUAGCAAAAUACUUUAUAUACACUAUUGAUUCAAUCGUGCUAGCCCAGGUUGUCUCUACCUUGACCCUGAGAGAUAA